GAUGAACGCUAGCGACAGGCCUAACACAUGCAAGUCGAGGGGCAGCACAUGAGUAGCAAUACGAUGGUGGCGACCGGCGCACGGGUGAGUAACACGUAUGCAACCUGCCUGUAAGAGGGGGAUAACCCGGAGAAAUUCGGACUAAUACCGCAUAAUACCACGAGACUGCAUGGUUUUGUGGUUAAACAUUUAUGGCUUACAGAUGGGCAUGCGUAUGAUUAGAUAGUUGGUAGGGUAACGGCCUACCAAGUCUACGAUCAUUAGGGGUUCUGAGAGGAAGGUCCCCCACACUGGUACUGAGACACGGACCAGACUCCUACGGGAGGCAGCAGUGAGGAAUAUUGCGCAAUGGGCGAAAGCCUGACGCAGCAACGCCGCGUGAGUGAGGAAGGCCUUGGGUUGUAAAGCUCUGUCUUCCUGGACGAAGGCUUAAGGGUUAAUAGGACCCAAAAGAUGACGGUACAGGAAGAGGAAGCCCCGGCUAACUACGUGCCAGCAGCC
rnacentral:rRNA from 1 species